rnacentral:rRNA from 1 species
UACGUAGGGUGCGAGCGUUAAUCGGAAUUACUGGGCGUAAAGGGCGCGUAGGCGGCCGAUCAAGUCAGAUGUGAAAGCCCACGGCUUAACCGUGUGAAGUGCAUCUGAAACUGGUCGGCUUGAGUAUCGGAGAGGAAAGUGGAAUUCCCGGUGUAGAGGUGAAAUUCGUAGAUAUUUGGAGGAAUACCAGUGGCGAAGGCGGCCCCCUCG